rnacentral:rRNA from 1 species
GUGGGGAAUAUUGGACAAUGGGCGAAAGCCUGAUCCAGCCAUGCCGCGUGUGUGAAGAAGGUCUUCGGAUUGUAAAGCACUUUAAGUUGGGAGGAAGGGCAGUAAGUUAAUACCUUGCUGUUUUGACGUUACCGACAGAAUAAGCACCGGCUAACUUCGUGCCAGCAGCCGCGGUAAUACGAAGGGUGCAAGCGUUAAUCGGAAUUACUGGGCGUAAAGCGCGCGUAGGUGGUUUUGUAAGUUGGAGGUGAAAUCCCCGGGCUCAACCUGGGAACUGCCUCCAAAACUGCAUGACUAGAGUACGGUAGAGGGUAGUGGAAUUUCCUGUGUAGCGGUGAAAUGCGUAGAUAUAGGAAGGAACACCAGUGGCGAAGGCGACUACCUGGACUGAUACUGACACUGAGGUGCGAAAGCGUGGGGAGCAAACAGGAUUAGAAACCCGAGUAGUCC